GCGCGCAAAUUACCCAAUCCUGACACGGGGAGGUAGUGACAAUAAAUAACAAUACCGGGCGCGUUAGUGUCUGGUAAUUGGAAUGAGUACAAUCUAAAUCUUUUAACGAGGAUCCAUUGGAGGGCAAGUCUGGUGCCAG
rnacentral:rRNA from 1 species